UACAGAGGGUGCGAGCGUUGUCCGGAAUUACUGGGCGUAAAGAGCUCGUAGGUGGUUUGUCGCGUUGUUCGUGAAAACCGGGGGCUUAACCCUCGGCGUGCGGGCGAUACGGGCAGACUGGAGUACUGCAGGGGAGACUGGAAUUCCUGGUGUAGCGGUGGAAUGCGCAGAUAUCAGGAGGAACACCGGUGGCGAAGGCGGGUCUCUGGGCAGUAACUGACGCUGAGGAGCGAAAGCGUGGGGAGCGAACAGG
rnacentral:rRNA from 1 species